GUCUCUGUGGUGCAAUUGGUUAGCGCGUUCGGCUGUUAACUGAAAGGUUGGUGGUUCGAGCCCAUCCAGGGACG
rnacentral:tRNA from 1 species